UGUCUAGUGGUUUAGGAGUCAUGAUAUCUCCCUUUCAAGGAGGCAACAGGGAUUCAACUUCCCCUCAGGGUAA
rnacentral:tRNA from 1 species